UGUUCAUGUGGAGACACAAGGGACUCCGUCCAGUGAGCUUGUAAUGGUAAUUGAAAAGUGCACUGAGGAAGACACAAUCCCUAAUUCAGGAGAAGCAACUGGUAGUUCGUAUCUACCAGAUUCAAAAACUUUGCUUCCACCUUCAGUUCCUGUUGCAAAUUCAAUUGUCAUAGAAACUGAAUCAAAUGAAAUAUCCUCUGACUGUAAACUUGGUGUUAAGUCACCAAAUACUGACCAAUCUGGGACAGAUUUGCCUGAUUUUCCAAUAGUUAAAUCUGAUGUUUCUUCACAGACGGUGCAUGAUAAUUUACUUGCAUUUUCUUCUGAAGGUUGUCUUAUGAGAGAGUUUUAUUAUGAAGAUCCCAAUAUAUGUGUACAUACUUCAGAUAUGCCACAUCUGGAAAAGAACGACUCUGAUG
rnacentral:misc_RNA from 1 species